GCUAGUUUUUACCCAGGCUCUCUGUCUUCCUGGGGCUCUUAAAUUAGCGGUAGCGGACAUGCCCCGUCUGUGCUGUCUGCAGAGAGAACAGUGGACUCUCCAUGUCUCCAUCCAAAUCAUGGGUAGCAUCUUUAACAGUGAGGCAGAAGGUGAAACUCCUCUCUGCUCAAGGUCUGAGCAUGGUGCUCACCAGCUAACCGGACAUCUUUGGCUUUACUGUGGGUUUCUAAUCAGCCAAACUGUACGCUCACACACUCAUCUAACACUUGAGGCCAGGAUUCUUUACUGUUCCUUUUUGUGACUGAAGCCAGUUUUCUGCCUCAACCUCCGUUCUUGUCUUCCUCCUUAGCAAGAGAACCCUAAUUUUCAGCUCGGCUGAUCCCAGUCUCUCUCAAGACCAGCUGUGUCUGGGUGUCUCCAUUCUGACCAAUGGGUUAUAAGUAAAGAGCUGUGUGGUGGAACUUUGGACAAAUCUCCCCUAAAAAUAACGGACUCAGCUGGGAGGAGGCAGCCCUUCCUCCUCCCUGAUGUUUAAAUGCGGAUGUAGGGGCUCAGUCAGAAGCAGCCAUCAUGAUCAUGAGGUGACCUUGAGCAUAAAGGAGAGAAGUUUAGCUUCUGCUGACCUGGAAUCAAUCUUUCCAAGUCUUGGAAACCAGGACUUUGAAAAGUCUCUUGAAAGGUCAUUAGGAAAGAACAAAGGGUGUUUUGUCAGCGUGCAUUUCAGAAGCGCCCCUGAUAGGAGGAGCUACAAAAGCCUUUCUUUGGAGACUUCAGCCAUCUCUAACAGUUUCCUUUGAAAUCUCUAAUUAUACUCUAAAAAGAAGGCAUCAUUGGAGCCAGAACCAGCAGCCAAUUACCCACGAGAAAUCACUCUCUGUGUGGGCUGUCUUCUCUCUCUGUUCGCAUAAUUUCAAAAUGCAAUUUCUAGAACCAUGCUAAAUACUUGUAAACAGAGAUUGGUUUAAUUGCAAAAGGGGGACCAUUUCAGGGGGGUAAAAAUAGCAGUUGUCUCUCCUUGUCACCGAGCUGUCCUCUUUGGGUCACUUUUCAAAUUCCUUCCACCAAGUUCAGGGCCAUCGGCAACUCCAGUCAGAGGCGCUGACUUCAAAAGCAGGUGGAGGUUCCCAUGGGUGGUGGAAAAGCCUAACACUUGGAAUUAGAAGACCCAGGUUUGAGUUCCAGCUCUAGUUAUUGUGAGGCCACAGCCAUUAGCAUGCUGACUAGCCUUCACAUGCCUCAGAUUCCCCAUCUCAAAACUGGCCACAGAAGGAACUAAGUGGGUGAGGCAUCUAUGUAAACUGUAAUGAGCCCUCAUGGAAAGUGAGCCUUGUAAAGCAGUCUCUAGGCUGCUGCCUGUCUUCUCUGGCAUCCUAGCAGUGCCUGGAAGACUGGAGGUGUCUGUAUCAGCCAUGACCAUGUCAGACUGCCGCACCAUGGGAACUGCAAAGUGGUGGUAGCUGGCCACCAUCGAUGUUUGCUUUUCUUAGGUCUGAUCUGGAUGGAGCGUGGCUGGUAUCUGCUGGCCCGGUUCAUGCACCUGUACUUCAACUGGGCAAUGUAGCUGGGAGAGUUGUGCUCCACGGGUUUCUCCUGCUUGUCUGAGGACUAAAGGCUAGCUGGAGCCUGGCUUUUCAUGAUGGUAGCAGAAAGGCCGGAGGAAGCAAAACAGCCUACCUGUGCUGUAGUAAGACCCCACUCGUCAGAGGAGGAGGAUGUGCGGCCACAUAGCAUCCAGAGAUGGGAACUCCAUCCAGUAGGAAGACAAUGCAAAGUUCCCUGGUACAGAACCCUGACAGAGGAAGGCAUCUCUCUGUGAACUCACUCCUCACUGAUGGCUGCCAGGACUGCAGUUGAUAUUGAAGGUGGUACCCAGACACGCUGAGCCCAUUGGAGAAGUUGCACAAGACUGAGGAGGGAAGUUUAGAACUGAAAAACAGUGAGACAUGCAGUGGAGGCCAAAGAAGACAAGAGGGACUGUCCUGGCUUUGGAACUCCCCCCCCCAACCCUUCAAAAGGAUCAGCCCAGGGUCCCCAACUGAGGGGGAGGAGCUGCUGGCCAGAAGGAAUGGGUGAGGGAAGAGCUCUGGAGUGAGAAGAACCAGGACUUCUGUCAGACAUACCGAACUCAAAGGACUCUAUUAACCUUGGGACCUUGAAUCCUGCCUCAGUUUCCUCUUCUGUAAAACAGAGAUCAAGUCUCUUAUUUCUCAGGAUUAUUGUAAGGAUUAAAACAGACAUGGAUUAGAAGAUUAUAAACAAUGAAAUAAAGAUCAUACGAUCACAGCAGAGAAUUAAACUCCUCAGGCACAAAACUUUCAAGAACACAAGAGAGGACACUCUAGCACACUCACAGAGACAGGACCUAGCCAUCUUGCUUCCGUAGUAGCCCCCAGAGUGACACUACCAAUAAACUGAUCAAAUGUUUAUCAGGUGGCUGUAACGUGGGAUGCAAGUGGGGGGGAGAUCUGUAAAAAAUAGGCAAGUUCAAGAGAGGUUGGCUAGAUCCCUAGAAAGAUGUGCAAGACACCAGGAUAAAUACAGGUACCUUAUUAACUUAGGGUGCCUGUCUGACUCUUGGCGAAUUCCUAGUUCCUAGGAUUUGAUGGG